UUUUAAUUAUAGUUAUUUAUAAUAACAUUCAUGUUUAACAUGUAAAACAUCAAGCUUCAGAUACAUUUCUUUGUCACAAGGGUUUGAUAAUGAAAUGUUAGGAAUCAUUGCCAUUUUCUGAAUGUAUAUAUUGGCAGAUAUAUUUAAAAAAAUAAUCUCUUU